AUAAGUUGUAGAAUGAAUGAAUUCACGUGUUUGUUAUGAAUGAAAAGUAGUUCCGUCACAACGUCACCUAACUGAGGGGUCAUCGGUUUUCCAGUCAAAUUGUUAGAAUCACAGGUCAAGUCGUUACGACACAGGUCAACGCGAUACGGCACUCUUGUGACGUACGACAUUAGUAUGCAACUUCCCAUACGUUGACCACGUGGGUAAUAAAUAUCAUAUUAUAUGUAUGUCCAUGCCAC